rnacentral:lncRNA from 1 species
GAGAGAGAGAGAGAGAGAGAGAGAGAGAGAGAGAGGCGUGGAGUUUCUCGGGCCGUGUAGUCACACUCUUCGAGGGUUUCUUGGAUGAGGAGGGGUUUAUUUAAAAGGUGCUUACGAGGCUCGCGAUCCACCGCCUAAUAAACUUCCGGUGGUCAAUCUCGGCCGUCCGUUACAUUCUCUCCGCUUCAGGCCCAAUAGGCCCAACAUCCCGAGGUGAGAUAUUAGCAAAUUAUCCAGCCCAAUAGGCCCAACAAGAAACCGCUAGAUUCGGGCCUAGUAGUUCAUAUCGGCCUAUUUAGGCCCAUAAUUGUGAUGAUCCAAUAAUUAGAAACUAGGUCUCACUGGAUUACUGGAAUAUCUCCUAAAAGUGUAUUUAGGUACCCAAGUGUCGGCCAUGAGAUCAGAGAUUCGAGCUCCUGUAUAAGCUUAAAUUAACGGCUUGUGUUCCAAGGUUCUAAUUAGCAUAUGUAUAGGAAUAAAAAAAGUUCAAGGACAAUGGAGUCUACAGAUAAAAUAAAACCUCAAAAGGAAAAGUAAAUCUGCAAUAUUGUACCACCUACUGGGGUGGCCAAAUUAUAUUUGAUCAAAUACAAGAGAUUUUCAGAUCAAACACUAACAGUAGCGGUCGUAGCUCAAAUCAAACUUGUGAAUCCUUCACUUGGUACAAGUCUGAAACCUACAAAACUAUGGAAGUUAAAAAAAAUGAGAGAUGUUGUUAAUUUGGAAUAUACAUGCACAUUAACUUAAUUAAUUGUUUGUCCACUAUUACUUCCUAUCUUCACACAUAAACAUGCUAAGAACUCCACCAUCAUAAUAAUUCACAAGAUAAUGCCUAUCAAAAAGCUUGAAAAGCUCUAAGAACCUAUGAGCCAACAAAACAAUUUGGAGCACAAAAAGAAACCAACCACCAUCUUUUCAAUCAAAUCCCUACCUACCAGAAAGAGCAAAUUAAAACAUUAGCUCACUCACUUUUCUUCUCAUUUGGAAUGGACAACCACUCCUUGUUGCCCCAGAAGUUUCAUGCAUGGCCCUUCAAUUUUGGUAGAUGGAUAGGGCCAUAUAGUUUUGGAUGUUGAUUUAUCAAAUCAAUGCACUAGCUAAUUGACACUUUUUUCGCAAAUCAAUGCACUCAUUCUCCCUUUUUAUGCUGAUCCCUUCUUUAUAGGCUAGUUCAAUGAAAUAUAGACGAAAAAUAUGUUAACUCACAAAUUAAUCAUCUUGUAAUAGUUCGCUUAUGAGCGCUCUUUUUCCGAAACUAUUAUGUGUUGAAUUGGAGAACUGGGGAUGAUCAUCGGAUUUGCGAAUAAUCAUGAUCCAAACUUUGCAUUAGAUAAGGGAUUUAGAUCAUAUAUAUUGGGUAACGAGAAAAUACAGUGCUUGUGAAAAUAAGAUCCUCUAGUGUCCACAUGCAUGUUGGGGACUCAACAUUAAUAUGGUGGAGACAAAAGGCAUAUAACAAUCAAGUCUCAACAGUGUAAAAAUGUUUGAGGCGCGCAUAUUGUUACACUGCGUCGUCGGAGAGAAUUGGAAAAAUAUCUCCACCAAUUUUACUGUGCUAUAGUUUCCUUCAUAAAAAAAAAAAAGAAGAAAAAAAAAACAUUGUUGGUAGUAGUAGAUCGUUCUUAUGUAAUUUAGGAUAUGUUUGAUGAGUUCCUGAUUAGUAUAAUUUUUCAAAUAAUUACCCAAUUUAGAGAAGCUGGAAACAAAUGUUUGAAAUAUCGAUUUAGAUAAUAAGAUAUCAAAAUAAGCUUUGAUUUUGAGGGUCAAAUUGUAUCUAAAGACAUAUGUUCAAAGGAUUAUCUGAAUUUCAUGUUAAAAAAAAAAUGGAAUGGUCAUUCGACACAUACUCUCUUUCAUGGUACAGCUCAUGCCUUUUUAAUAGUUUUAAAACAUCAACUUGAAUUAUAUAGAAGAAAAUUGUAUAAAAUUAACGGUGUCGUGAAAAUUUAAAUUCAAGAUCUCCUGCCUAAUAUAUAACAUAUUAAAAAAUAUGCAACAAUCAUUUACUUUUAAAAACCUAAACUAUCAGAAAAUAAUAUUUUAUUUUUUAAUACUUAUACUUCCCUAGUAGCAUUUUAAUCAAAAAGAAAACCUCAAAUUUUCGCACACAAUUUUAACCUAAAAGCUACAGUAAAUACUUCUCCGAAAAGCACUACUCAAACGCCUACCAUUUCGAAUCUAACCUAAACCAAACAAACUCCAAACCACAGCCUUUGUAGGCCACAUUUUUGCCAGGGACCAAAUCCAAAUUCUGACUCAAAAGAAACUUCGCUGUCGUAGAGUGUAGAAGCCACCAAAGAGUAUUACCAUGGCGCGACCCAUAUUAAUUUAGUAACAACGUAUAGAAACUUACACGAAUAUAUAGAUAAUGGUAUUUUGACUUUCAAAUCUGAAUGCAUUAUUUAUUUUUAUAGAUCUAAUUAAUAUACUUUACGUUAACCGGCUCAAAUCGUACAAAUUUAAAAAAUUAAAUAAAAAAUAUAUAUUUUUAAAAGAUUAAAAAUAGUAAAAUCAAAGUAGUAAGUUUUAGAUUUUACUGCUCUCAUAUUUUACUACCACGUACAGAGUUCAAUAGUAAUUUCCCAAGAAGGGUUUAUUAGUCCCCGCAUCAUCGGACGGACACCACGGGCGAUGCGAUCCCCGGAUCACGUGAUGAACAAUCCUACGCCGUACGAUCGGGACCUCCGAACCAGGGGGUCGGGUUCUGCGUUUCGACGUGUGUGUCCCUCGACGUGGGAGUGGGGAACAAAAGCCUUUAAUGGCAGGUUGGGCUCCAACUUUACAUUGCCAGGAUAAAGCGUGGAAAUGAACAUCCUUUUUGCACAUGACCUCUUUUGCUUUGGCUAACACUUUUUUAGGUACUGGGAGUGCUGCGACCUUCUGUGGGGGACAAAACCCAGAAUAAAUAUAUUUUUUUUAAAAUAAAUAAAUAAAUACAUAAUAAAAAGAAGAAGCUAAAUAUUUAUCUUCUAUUACAUUAUUAUUAUAGAAGUGCAGCUAAUUUACCGACGCCGGCGGUGUUUCAGAGUAUGUACGUGACGCGAUCAAUCUCACAUUGUUUGAUCAUAGAGUUUGAACUAGUUUGAAUAUUUUACGAGUGUUAGCAUAUCAACCGUCUUUAGGAUUGAUAGCAGCAGCAGCAGUAGGAUCGCUAGGAUUCUUUCUUUUUUUUUCUUUUUUUUUCUUUUUUUUUUUAACUCUUUCGAGGCUCGUGUUGCCUUACCUCUAUAGCUUAGUUUACUUUUUCAAUGAAUGAAGCAGGUAGCGUGCUACCUAUUCCUCAAAAAAAAAAAAAAAAGAUAGUAGCAGCAGCAGUUAUAGCAAAUUUGGGUCUUCUUUUUUGGCACUAAGAAUUGGAGGGGUUAAAAUUGAAGAUUCUUGGUGUGGACGAGGGGAAGAGUCCCAACAAAAUUUGGGCAGCGCAUAGUAUCGUCUAACUCCUGCAGAUAAAAAUCUUUACAUGUUGAAUUUUGGGUUUUGAUGCACUAGUCUUGUCACAUCCCUCUUGCAUUUGUAUUGUAUUAAUUAAUCUCUUCAUCUUUUUUUAACAUCUCCUGAAAAAAAGAAGAGAAAAAUAAUCUCUUUUUUAUGUCAUCAUACCUGUAUACCUCUCAAUGCUUCUGAAAUAUUUAAUUUAUUUUUAUUUUUUUGUUUCAAAUAAUACCCAACGUAUAUUUUUCUGUUAUUUGAAAAUAAUCCUGCUGUUAGUACUCGUUAAGUUAUCUCAGGUUAAUUCUACCAAAGUUAAAAAGAAGUCAAAAUACCUUUUUUUUCCCUUAUUUAGCGGUAAAUAAAAAAAUGGUGACGGUAGAAUAAUAUAUUUGAAAAGAAAAAAAAUCAAAAUACUUCUUUUUAGCCCUAACUUAAGGGCAAAUAAAAAAAUUGGUGACGAUAGAAAGCUAUAUUUGAAAAAGUAAAAUAAUAAUUUUACAGAGAUAUCGUUUGUUUACUUGAAACGUUAAAAAGGUUUUUUUUUAAUAUUAAUUUUCUAAGCGGGGUAAAUAAGAAAGUCAAAAUUUUUCCAGAAACAUAUAAGCAAUUGCCACUAUUUUUUAACCAACCUUGUGCAACUUUGUCCAAAGCCCUCCCAUUUGGAGCUCAACACUGAAUCCACGUACCGACCGUCCCUAGCGCAAGUGGUAAAGGACUUGGUAGUUGGUAUCUGAGAUGCCAAGUUCGAAUCCUAAUUGAUUCACAUUUCUAGCUAAGUUUAUUUCUAAAUGAAACAAACGAAACGGAUAGCGUGCUACCUAUCUCAAAAAAAAAAAAAAAAAAAAACAUUGGAUCCACACUUUGCUCCAAAAAGUUGUUCGUGAGAAUUGAAUCUAUACGAAGGCAUGAUAGGCCACCAUUUAACCAUGUUCACCCAUGAGCAUGCCUGCUUAUUAUUGAUAUAUUUUUCUUUUUCUUUUUCUUUUUUUCAACCCAUGUGGAGGUGGUGAUUCAUCACACCCCAUCAAUUGAUUUAUUUGCUAAUUAAAGCAUGUAUUAUUUUGCAAACUCUUAAUUGUUCAUUAGAAAUAUAGUCAAUUUCGUAGUUAUUAUAUAUAUUUUGGACCGAAAUAUUUUUUUUUUUGAUAGAAAUGUUGGAAUCUGUUUUGCCUUGAUUCUGCAUUAAGGUGGUAUUAUAUCCAACGAUAGAAUUCGGGUCAAAGCAUGUUUAAUCAAACGCGGCCUCAUUUCAUUCAGAAGCUGAAUCAAACACAUCCUUACUCCUAAGUAAAGCAUGUUUGAACAAAGGGAUAAACCGAUCUAAGCAGCAAAGAAAACUUUCUUUGUUUGUUUGGUCAGAUAAUUUUUCUUGUUUUAUAAAACCCAAGACCAUUUUCUAUUUUCAAAUACAAGUUCAGUAAGAGCAUGCUUAGAACUUCAACCUCAUGUUAGUUGUGCAUCCUGCAUCAUAUUGCCAAAUUGAAACAACUUACACUCUUUGUUCUAUGUCUCUUUUAGCAAAACCAGAGCCCUAUUCAUGGGUUAAUUUUGCCCUUUUACUUCAAGAGGAGGCAUGAUAGAUUGAUAGGCCAACUUACACUCUCCGCAUUAAGGUGCUAUUUGGUUCGAGGUGUCCAAAAUUAUAUAGCAAGGUCUCUUUUGUUUCUUAUCGAGACUUAAUAAAAUCUAGCACUGAUCAUAAGAAUUUAAAGUAUAUUUUAACUAGCCCCAUGAGGUUAGUGCCCUUACACCAACUAUCGUAAAGAGCCACGCGCACAAUUAAAUCUCGAGGAAAAUUGAUCUGUUGUCAUAAGUUUGGGAGCCUUGGCAUGAGCUAUAGAUGAUAAUCAUGUGCAAUGGAAGAUCAUGCUAAGAACUGUGUUACAUUUAAUGAUAUAAACUCCUCGAUUAUGCCACACCCUGGUUUAGUACUAAUUCCAACUGCAAGAUGAUUACAAUCAUUAAAUUGGAUUCGUUACGCGAUCAUUCUACCUUUCGUAUAUGUGGACAAGGAGUCUGAAUCUAUUCAAUUGCUCUGUAUGAAGCAAGGAAUACGCCAUAGGACAAAAAGCCACUUCUCAAUGGUAUUAGUAUAUAAGAUAAGAGGGUAAUCUAUGAAAGUGAUAUAACAACUACACACGUACCUAAUUUUCUAUCAAGCACUUGUAGUUGUAGCAUAAACAAAGGAGAAAACAAGAGGAGGAAAGAAAUUAAGACCUGAGCGUUCAGAGCAAAUCGAUAGAUCCAUAAAUCUUUGGUUGAAAGCAAGAAAAUAUAUAGUUAUGCGGAACCGUCAAUUUGGUUAAAGCAAAGCUUUAAAAGUAAAGUUCUACUCUCUUUUUCCGCAAAAUGCACAGUGUUAGAUUUGUCACUUUUUUUUUUUCCUUUUUUCUGUUUUUUGAGACUAAGUGCAGCAGUUAUAUUCAUAUUAUGCAUCAAUCAGUACUCCCACCUAUCUAUUAUUUUGUAUUUUAUAUCUAUACACUAUCAACAAUCAAUUUGGUUUUUCAAUCUAUAUAUUCUCUUUCUAAAAUAAUUAAAAUUGUAGGUAAAGAAAAGAUUAAAGCAACACAUGCAGUGAGCGGCAAUAAUUGAUGAAAAAGGAUGGAACGGAAGGUCGAAGGAUAAGACAACAAUGUACGGCUUGUGAAUGUACUAGCUAGUGCAAGGACUGAUUAUUUCUCAAGGCACCAUAUUUUUCAUUUUAUGUACAUUUAAAUUAAAUACACGUAGCAUUAAAACCGAAGAGUAGAGACGAUCGAAAAUGAACAAAAAAAAAAAAAAUAGUACCAGCUAAACUUGCUAAAACGAAAUCAAUUGACGCAUUAAUAAGGUAAAUUUACCAAGAUAAAUUUAUCGAGAUAGCAUCUUACGUUAGUACAAUCAAAGUUUGAAUUCCCUGACAAAGUCAAAGCCUACUGAAUUAAAGUUAUGCGCCUUUUAUAUUAAAUUAUUGGCGAAAGCAUAGAUUAGUGAGACAGACAUAGCCUUUAAGCUAUUGAGCUACAAGUAUUAGCAUUAAAUUAUGUUGAUUAUAAGGACAAGGCCUAAGAACAUUGUUUUAUUUGUACGUUCAUGUGCUAACAUAUAAUAUUUGCUUGUAAUGACACUAAAAGGCCGUUCGGAAAAAAAGAAAAAAAGAAAAAAAAGAAAUGAAAUGAAUAAAAAAAAAGGACUAUCAUUUUAAAAAGAUGCUAUUUGCAUUGUUUCGUUCGUUGUCUAGGGGGGAAUAAUCACUGUGUAUUAAUUCAUUAAUUAACAUCAUAAAAGGUGAUAUUGUCUGCAGAACACUGACAUUUCUGUAAAUUAAAUCCAUGCAACACAGUUCCACCACAUGCACAACAUAAAAAAAUUCACAAUCAUGUCCCGUUCUUGCUCAGGAUCUCGAUCCAUGCUUAUAAUGUAAACCAAAUUAGCAUCUUCGAUCGAGAGAGAACGCGACAAUGAACAGUCGACUCCGAGAUGUACGAUCUCCUUCUUUUCUUGUUCGAAUUUGAAACUACUAUUGAAAGAAAGAUUCGCAUAAUAUCCCUCUCUUCUGACCCCUGUACCUCUGUUCAAAUAGGGUAUACCUCUGUUUAAUCAAAAAAAAAAAAAAGAAGAAAGAUUCGCGUAAGUGUAUAGUAUUAGCUCCGCAGCCUCCACUGUAGGCGCUUUAAUUACUCACUGAUUGAGGUUAAUCUAAAGAACAAAUUAAGACCGUGCUAAUUAUAAUUAUUGAGACCGCGCAUGUGUAGUUGUUGAAGGAAUUUUGUCCUAUUUCUACAAAGAACUCUUUUGUGCUUUUUAGGCUUCCGUAGGCUUAAUUGUUUGUGAUCUUGCAUAACCAACACAAAACAUAAACAAAAGCAAAACCCCCCCCAAAAAAAAAAGGGAUCUAUAUAUAAAACUCUUUUCCACUUUGAUGCGGCAAUAACAAUGAGAACAACAAAGGCAACAUGAAUGUUAGUAGUAAGAGCCAUAAAGAAAACUAUAUAAAAAUGCCCUCUUUUGAGGCUAAUUAUAUAGCAAUUUCCCAUCCAAGACUUAAUCAAAGUUUUGGCUCGAACUUGUGUCAUCCAUCUACAAAUCCAGGUUGCAUUCGAGUUUAACCUUAAUUCAAACUCUGCUUGCGUUUUGUUUAGCUUCUAACUCAUCCAAAUCGGGUAUGGUCAGAUUCUGAUUUCUUCGUAAAAUAUUAUUGGGUUAACUGCAUACAGCUCUCUGUAAACAUAUCGAAUAGCAAAUAUAUCCAUACAAAGUUCAACUUUUCAUAUUUAACCUUGCAAAAAAUCUUAACAUUUUCAAAUACACCUCUGCUGUUAGGACCCGUUAGAAAAAUAUAGUUAAUCAUAAAUAAAAUAUUUAACCUUGAUUAGUGAAUAAGGUAAAUUGAUCUUUUUACCCCUCUUAUAUUAUUCGUGAUGGUAGAAAGAAAGAAGAUAAUUGUUAGAGAUUUUUGAAAGAAUAAUUUUGUAUAAUUUUAACAGUUGUGAUUUUUGAAAGGACAUGUUUGUGAUAAUAAAAAUAUCAUUUUAUUUAUUUUCUGUUAAAAUAUAAACAGUGCUUAAACGGUAACAAAAUAGAAAGACAAAUAUAAAUAUUAUAAAAAUUUUAUAAGAAUAAAUAUAAAACAUGAACUUUAUAAAAAUAUAUAUAUUUUUUUUGAGAGAUAGAUAGCACGCUACCCGCUUCGUUUAUUUCAUUUUGAAAUAAACUUAGUUAGAAAUGUGAAUCAAUUAGGAUUCGAACUUGGGUCUCGGGUAUCGGAUACCGACCACCAAGUCCUUUGCCACUUGCUCUAGGAACAGUCAGUAAAAUAUAUUUAUUAUUUAAUAUGUUUAUAAGAAGCUGCAUGAAAUUAACCCAAUAUUAUAAUUCUACGCGAGUCCAACCUAAACCCACACUGAAUCGAUUCGAUCUGUUCCCACUACUAAUCAGUUUGGUGGUCCCUUGUGCGCGACAUAAGUUAGUUGUGGUCCGCAACCAGAAUAGGACCAUUCACAAAUUUAGAUGGGAGGUCCAAAUAGGUCUAUAUAUUAAAGGAUGAAUUAUUGCCCAUGCAAUGCUCGUCCACCACGUCAUUCGUGAACCGCCCAUCAUCUGUCCGUCGAUCAGACCCCUUCCUGCGAUCACCGCCGCAUUUAGAAAGAGAUAAUUUCCGAGGAUCCAUUUAUUCGCUCGUAUAUGAACUUGUGGAAAUGUUCAAGCUGGCAAAUAAAUGGUUUUGACUUUUAAGAUAGGCAGUGGCCCUUCGCGCCAUUCACUUCGCAGGUCCAAACCUAUCUAACCAUUUGCAAUCGAAUUCAUACACCAAAUUUCUCGAUUCAAGCUCAUCGCAAACUUCAUCUUACUUCGACACAUCUGGUAAAAUUUUUUUAUUUAUUUAUCUGCUGUUAUUAUUAUCACCACCGCCCCAGAAAUACCGUCCCAGAAACACGUAACAUAACUGCUGCUGCAUCAUUUGCGACCACUUCAUAUUCAUGCAUGUAUUGUCCCUGCAAGGACAACUCUUUAAGUUGUCGUAUAUUAUACAAAUACAUGCAAGUGUGUGUGUGUAUAUAUAUAUAUAUAUAUGUCCAUGUCACGUGGGUAGCAAACGGAUCGCGAGCUUAAUUUCUGCUGCAGCAGCGUGUAUACAUAGCUGGCUUGGAAAGUGAAGCAUGAUUGUGCGUUUGCGUGUACACUGGGCCAAAGUUACAUGUGCAUGCGAGCUACAUACAUACAUACAUACAUACAUACAUACAUACAUAUAUAUAUAUAUAUAUAUAUAUAUAUAUAUAUUACUUAUCCCUUGUUUACUUUACUUGCUCGUCCACACCCAAAGCUAAAAGAGACAGAAAAAUAUAAAUAUUUAUUCAAAAACAUUAUUUGAAUAUGUGCAAAGUAGAGAGAGCCAAACGUUCGGUUACAGCAAUUUUAUUUUUUACCCACCAUUCGUAAAGCAAGUGAUAAAAAAUUUGGUGACUGAUAUCCAAGGUCCGUUCGAAUCCUAGUUGAUUUAUAUUUUCAGCUAAAUUUAUUUCUAAAUAAAAUAAAUAAAACGGAUAACGUGCUAUCUAUAUCUCAAAAAAUAUAUAUAUAAUUUCUUUUUUUUUUCAAGGUAAAAGUGGCACGCUACUUUCAUCAUUCACUCGGUAAAUAAAUUUAACUAUGAUUAUAAAAAAAAAGGCAAAAAUGAUUUUAGUUACAAUGAUUUUUUGUUAUAAAUAUAGCACUCACGCUGCACUAAUGAGAACACCUUUCGAAGAAUACCCCUCUAUUUUUUAUUUUUUUAAAGAUAAAAAUGUUUGUAGGCCUCCACAGCUAUUAAAAAAAAAGGGAAAAAAAAAUUUCUGCGAAAGUAGGUAUAAGGUCUAAAAAGAGAUUCAUGAAAUUUUAGUAGAAAGUUCUCCAACAAUAUCUUAUUAGGAAGCUUCUAAUAUGCUGUCAGGGUAUUAAUUUUGCGUGCAUUCAAUGGUUCGGUGAAUGGGUGUUUUUUUAAUACUAAAUUUUUUAAAAAAUAUUUGAAAUUAGAGAGAGAGAGAGAUUAUAAUUUUUUGGAUAGAAACAAAAGUGACACAGAAUAGCGGAUCGUGACUCCUUAACAAGACAUCGGCUAAAAACUCCUCAAUGAAAUUUUUUGCAUAAGAGGCUAUAUAUGAUAAAUUUACAUUAAAAUAGUUUUUUUUAUAUAUACUUGUCUUUAGAGUUGAGCUUCUAUACUUUUGAAAGCACAAAAGCAUAUGUACAUAUAAUUUUGUAGCCGUCGGAUGGUCUUAAAAUCCGUAUAGCACUAUUAACGAUUUAUUCCAUUAAGUCUUCUUUAUUAAUACUGCACUAAUUUUAAAAUGAUCCACGACUAAAAAUUACAAAAGUGUUAAGCUAGUGUACUUUAAAAAGCAUAGGAGCUCAACUCCUCGUCUCUAAUAUGAAGGCCUUUGCCUGAAUAUUGCUUUUCUGUGUAGAGUAACUCGAACUAAAAAGAUUUUCUUAGACUCUAGGCAUUUUGAAAUGAAUCCUUAAGUUAUAAAUAUUUUACUAACAUCAAUUUUUUUUAUUUAAGUUAUUUAGGUUAGUUGAGUAAAAAAAAUUAUUAAAAUAUAAUUAUUUUAUGUAGCUAUCAAUUAUUAAAUAUUUUAAAUUUAUUUACUAAAAAGCAAUUAAAGUUUUCAAAUUUGAUAAAUUUUAUCUAUCAAUGUAUAAAAUUCUUAAUUUAAUUCGCUUAAAUAUAAAAAAUAUAUAAACAUCAUUCUCUAACUGUUUAAGUUUUUAUAGUACAACGGUUAUUUCAUAUAGUAUCAGAAUAAAAGGUUCUAAGUUCCAACAACUCCAGGCUCCUAACAUUAUUAAUUUAUUUCUAUUUAAUUCAAGUUUACGUCAUGAAGCUUGCAAAAGUCUCGAGUCCAGAGGUGAGGGAGUUUUAAAUAUAAUAUAUAUAUAUAUAUAUAUAUAUAGCAGGGCUGCUGUGCUCUCAGGAGCACGGAGGCCUCCAUGCUCCUGAGCCGUUUUCAAUGAUAGAAUUUUCGAAUUGACGAUCGGCUUCGUUAGACUUGAUCUAGCGUAUUUGAAGUUUCUAAAAAAUAAUUUUUAUCAUUUUUUAAUAUCAUUUACCUAGUGAUCGAAAGGGUUUAAAUUAAAUCAAUAAUUUUUAAUGGUUGAUAUCUGCCGUUUUCAAGUUUAACGGUGUAAAAGUAUUCAAAUCAGAUGAAAUUUUGAUACAAAAUUCUUUAUACUAUCUACAACAAGAUCAUUAUUUCUGAUCUAAAAUUUUAGUGCUAUAUCACCACUUUUUAUAGGAUUUUUAUUUUCAACCGUUAAAAAUUAUUGAUUUUGAAUCCUUUUGAUUGCUAGGUAAAUGAUAUAGAAAAAUCGCAAAAAUUAUUUUCUAGAAACUUCAAAUACGCUAGAUUAAGUCUAACGGAGCCGAUCGUCGAUUCGAAAAUUCCAUCAUCGAAAACGGCUCAGGAGCACGAAGGCCUCCAUGCUCCUGAGAGCACAGCAGCUCUGCUCUAUAUAUCUAUAUAUAUAUAUAUAUAGAGAGAGAGAGAGAGAGAGAGAGAGUUGGUCUGGGCUAUUAUUAGUAGCAAAAUUUCAUUGUUGCUACCAGUUUUUUAGCCUUUGGAUCAACUAUUUUCAUUAUUUCUAACCAUUGGAUUAAAUACUAUAACCCAGUGGAAACCACUCAACCCUAGGGGGACCACUCAACUCUAACCGACUAAUAUCAUUCUGACCUUACAAUUUUUUAUCUAAGGAUUAAAAAUUUAAUAGUAAAAAAAAUAUUUUACUAUUAAUAAUAUUCCAGCCUAAUUCUAUAUAUAUAUAUAUAUAUAUAUAUAUAUAUAUAUAUA